rnacentral:piRNA from 1 species
UGACUACUUGGUGACUGAUCCUGAAC